CGGGUGAGUAACGCGUGGAUAACCUGCCUCACACUGGGGGAUAACAGUUAGAAAUGACUGCUAAUACCGCAUAAGCGCGCAGUACCGCAUGGUACAGUGUGAAAAACUCCGGUGGUGUGAGAUGGAUCCGCGUCUGAUUAGCCAGUUGGCGGGGUAACGGCCCACCAAAGCGACGAUCAGUAGCCGACCUGAGAGGGUGACCGGCCACAUUGGGACUGAGACACGGCCCAA
rnacentral:rRNA from 1 species